CAUUCAGCAUUGAAAACAAUCUUAGGUUGCUUUUUACCCAUAACUCUUAGGUUGUGAAUUAUGCUGUUUGCUAUAUCAGCUGAUUCUUUUCUGUGCUGGUUUGCUGUCUUCUGCUGUAGUUUUUGACUGUGACCUUAUCUAUUGUGAAAACUCUUCCACACGCCUUGGCCAAGGGCUGCAACAUUCAGGGGGACUCAGUUUCCCCAAGAUAAACCUUGUCUUGGACCUUUUUAUUUUCAGACCUGCCUUCCUCUCUACUUCCAGAAGUGCCUGGUGCCACUGAUUUCUGAAACACUAUCCCAUGAAACUAUACUCUUCUAUUUUCAUUUCAUCCAUAUACUUGUGGAUAAGAAAGAGCCAUAUUUAAAAGCUUCAAUUAAGAAUAUUUUAAAACACGAAUGUACAUGACAUUAACUAUGACCAUGGGGUGAUUGUUUUACUGUUCAUAUAUUAGUUACGCACACAUGUAUCAUCAUAUAAUGGCCAUCAGAGACACAAAGCUGAGCAGAGCUUAUCUCAUUGAGGAGAUUAAAGAACAGUUCUUACACAAUCUGAUAAACACUAUUGCAGAACAAAGUGUUCUGGGAGACCAGGAGAUAAUAAUUAUAGCAGCAGUUUAUGAAUAUUUAUUUUGUGCCAGGCACUGUGCUAAAGAUCUAGUUUUAGUGAUAGCUCUGAAAGGCAGCUAACAGAGAAAGACACAGGUUAAUAUUCUCAUUUUAUAAGUGAGAAAACAGAGUUCAUCUGUGGAACAAGAGUUAUACCCCUAGUAAGUGACAGAACUGGCUUUUCAAGCAGACGUCUCUUGUUCUGAACCACUCUUUAUGAGGAGAAACUGGGGAGGACUUCAGACAGGAGAUGACAAUUGAGCUGGGUCUAGGAUGAGGAGGCAUCGGCCAGGUACGGGUGUUCUUGAAAAAAAAGUCCUAAAGGCAUGUGGGGGUCUGAAAAUGGGGGGCAGCUUGCUGUGAUGGCGACGUAGGAAAUGCGGAGGCAAAGCGAGUGAGGAAUGAAGAUGAGUCUGGAAAAGUAAAAUGGGGGAAAAGGUCCUCAAGACCUUACAGCCUAUGAGCAUCCUGGCCAGCCAUUUUACUUCACCAGGAUUCAAGAGGAGUAAAGGGGUGAGGCACCCCUUUACAAAUUGAAGUUAGGGAAGCUGAAUUUUGAGCUGAAGGACCUGCUACCUUGGAACCUGACCUUCUGCUUUAGCUUGGCUGUGGAGAACAUUCUUGAUUGUGGAGAAAUAAUUCCUACGAGGAAGCAAUUUGUAUCUAAGAGCUAUCAUGUUUCAAAUACCAUUAGUAGAAGAAUUUAGCAGUGCUGAUCAAUUUCGAUAAAUUUGGAAGAGAAAACAGAGAUUUGUAAAUUAUUAUGGGAAACAGAAUCUGCAGAUUGGUGGGAGGAGGGAAAAGAGACCAGAGGAGGAAGGAAGCCAUGUCCUAAAUAAGACAGAGCUUGGUUAUGUCCAGGUGGUGCUGUAGGGAGAGAGAAAAAUGCACUAAGCUGCCCCAGUGUCCAGCUCCCUCUGGAAAGCACUGUGCUUUAGGGUAAAAUAGCCUUCAAUGGAAAGCAAGCAGAAUUAAAGCCCAUCAACCCAGGAGUGCCUGGCUGACAAGUCCAGCCGUAAUGGUGAGGAGAGACAGUAGUUGAUCUUGAAUCAUCCGAAACCUGGUUCCAGAGCUCGGUGGGUGCUAACUGCAAGGACAUACCUCGAGGAAGGAGUCUUUUGAACCCAGAAUGGAUCUUCAGGAGGGAGCAAGCUCUGAUAAGGAGGAUGAUGAAA